rnacentral:rRNA from 1 species
GAUGAACGCUGGCGGCGUGCCUAAUACAUGCAAGUCGAGCGAACAGAUGAGGAGCUUGCUCCUCUGACGUUAGCGGCGGACGGGUGAGUAACACGUGGAUAACCUACCUAUAAGACUGGGAUAACUUCGGGAAACCGGAGCUAAUACCGGAUAAUAUAUUGAACCGCAUGGUUCAAUAGUGAAAGACGGUUUUGCUGUCACUUAUAGAUGGAUCCGCGCCGCAUUAGCCAGUUGGUAAGGUAACGGCUUACCAAGGCAACGAUGCGUAGCCGACCUGAGAGGGUGAUCGGCCACACUGGAACUGAGACACGGUCCAGACUCCUACGGGAGGCAGCAGUAGGGAAUCGUCCGCAAUGGGCGAAAGCCUGACGGAGCAACGCCGCGUGAGUGAUGAAGGUCUUCGGAUCGUAAAACUCUGUUAUUAGGGAAGAACAAAUGUGUAAGUAACUAUGCACGUCUUGACGGUACCUAAUCAGAAAGCCACGGCUAACUACGUG